UAGGGAAUCUUCCGCAAUGGACGAAAGUCUGACGGAGCAACGCCGCGUGAGUGAUGAAGGCUUUCGGGUCGUAAAACUCUGUUGUUAGGGAAGAACAAGUGCUAGUUGAAUAAGCUGGCACCUUGACGGUACCUAACCAGAAAGCCACGGCUAACUACGUGCCAGCAGCCGCGGUAAUACGUAGGUGGCAAGCGUUAUCCGGAAUUAUUGGGCGUAAAGCGCGCGCAGGUGGUUUCUUAAGUCUGAUGUGAAAGCCCACGGCUCAACCGUGGAGGGUCAUUGGAAACUGGGAGACUUGAGUGCAGAAGAGGAAAGUGGAAUUCCAUGUGUAGCGGUGAAAUGCGUAGAGAUAUGGAGGAACACCAGUGGCGAAGGCGACUUUCUGGUCUGUAACUGACACUGAGGCGCGAAAGCGUGGGGAGCAAACAGGAUUAGAUACCCUGGUAGUCCACGCCGUAAACGAUGAGUGCUAAGUGUUAGAGGGUUUCCGCCCUUUAGUGCUGAAGUUAACGCAUUAAGCACUCCGCCUGGGGAGUACGCCGCAAGAUUAAACUUAAAUGAAUUGACGGGGUCAUAGCUGUUUCC
rnacentral:rRNA from 1 species